UUGACGCAUAUUAGGACUGGAAAUUCAGUUAGUAACCACCCACGGUGGCCUUCAUGAAGGUUUCUUAAAUUCCAGUUGAGAGGAAAAGAAAACGAUAUUCCUCCUAGUUUGUAUCGGUUUCUAAUUCCAACAUAGGCAACUCAAGUCCUUAACUGAGGGGCAAACUAAGUAAUCGCACUUUCCCGUAUACUUCCUUCGUGAUUUAGGUUUUCACUUUCCCCCGUGUUGAGCCUCCAUGGAAAAAUCAGAGUUUAUCAGAUCAAAGAAGAAGUGGACGGAAGUCCCCCGCAGAACCAAAGGUAGCACCUUCGCUUGUUUUCGCACAUGGAAAAGAUGGAAAGUUUCAAACUUUUUACAGUAUAUGUUAUGAUCUCACCAAUAAUAGGGCUGCCAUUAAAUUCACACCAGAGCCGAGCAGGAAGUCCUUCUGGCAGAAAUCAAAUCAUCAAGAGAAGAAAUUGGGAAAGACAUUCUUGUGUAUUGUCGUCCUGGUGACAAAGAAUGGCGAAAAGUGUACAUUCUGAUGUAAGACGGCUUCUAUUGCUUUACUUCAAAGUAAGUUGUACAUAAUGACCAGAAGUGAUGAACAUCUAGAGAUAGAGGUUAUGUGUAUUUAACACAGCUGGAUGAAAUGAGCUUGUACAUUUGGAAGAUAAAAGUGUUCUGCUUUCGGUACCAUGUCCUGAUGAUCUUCCGAAGCCAUGGUUCUCGCCCAGCUGGCUCAUGAUUCCUAAUACUCAAAGGGACAACGAUGAUGUUGGAAGAGAAGGAACAGAAUCUAUCUCAGCUAACAACAGUGGAGGAGCUAAGGCAAUGGAAAAAUCUAGCUUAGCGAUAUGGCCAAUCAGGACAAGAACUAACAUAAACAAUGAUGAUGAGAAAGAGGUUAUUGAGGAAGCAAGGCAUUGGGAUAUGAUUAUGAUAAUGACGAUAUAGUGUGGUUCAUAUCGAGUUAUCUAAGCCUGCUGGAUCACAUACAUUUACGUGCUGUUUGUAGAAACUACGGGUUGGCAUAUCCUUUAAAGAAAUGGAGAAGAUUCUGCUGUACUAUGAGUCUACAAACCACUGCCUUGCCUCCAUGGCUGGUUUUCGCCAAGGAUAAUGAAUCUGCCCACAGUUCCAUAAACCCAAUGCAUAAUGAUGAGAAUUACCUCGUAGGCAUCCCUGAAUUGCUAAAAAGUUCAACAAUUCGGUUCUGGAAAGGCAGUUGGCUACACAAAAGCUAUCAUCAAACUUCCAGACUUUCCAGAUGGUUGUAAUUAUCUGUUCACGGGUAUCUCUUUCUCGUCCUUGCCGACUUCUUCAGAUUGCAUUGUUUUUGCCAUCAGUAAUUACAUGGUGGAUUUAGUAUGCAUGUCUUUCAUUAAACGUGGAGACAUAAGGUAGACUUCUGAUAUCUUCACUAAUGUUUUUUUACCACCCAAUAGAACAAACAUGGAUUUUGAGCCGAGUCUUAACAGCCCAAUUUUCUACAGUGGAGCUUUUUAUUGCUGGAUCUGAUCGGACUUUAGGAGUAUUUACAUUAGAGAAUGGCAUAAGGUGGAAAAGUUAUAUCUAUGGUACCCCAUCCCAAAUGUGCUUUCAUAUAUAAGAGUUACUUGGUAGAACUUGAAGGAAAGCUUUUAUCUGUACUAUUAGGCCAUAUGGGAAAUGGGUUCGGAUACAUGUCGGAAAGGGUGUGGUUUGAAGUUGAACAUUUAGGACGGCAUGUCUUGUUUAGCAGCAAUACAUCUUGUGUCACUACAAUUGCUUCGACUAGUCUAAUGGAGAACAAAAUCUACUUUCCUAGGUUGCAAGAAGGAACCCUUUUUUAUUCUUUUGAUUCUGGUAAAUAUCAUUCUCUUGAGAGUGAACAUUAUGAUACAGAUUAUUGCUACUCGAAUGACAAUGUGAGGUUAGCUGGAUAGAACCUAAUUGGUCAGAGCCCACACAGCCAAAUUUUUUUCAUCUUAUCAUGUGUAACUUUAUUUGGGCAUGUUAAGAGUCUUGACAGUGUUGUAUACUAGGUGAUUAUUUGCUUACUUUGGGGAUACAGAUCCAGUUUCUUCAUCUUAUCAUCUGCAGACAAUUCAUGUCUACACUGUCAAGACCUUACUUUGGGUAACCUCUUUCUCAUCAUCAUCGAUUAUGUUAGUCUUGUGCUGAUUGGCGAUAUUGCUAAGCUAGAUUUUUCGUUACCUCCUCCACUGUUGCUAGCUGAGAGGUUCUGUUCCUCUUCCAACGUCAUCGCCGUCCCUACUAAAUAAACAAAAGCAGAAAUGAGAAACAGCACGUAGAGUUUACUAGGUGAUUAUUUGCUUACUUUGUCUGAGGAAGUGAGGCCUUCAUUAAAUGAGAAACAGCACGUAGAGUUACUUACAGAGAACUCAUGAAUUGUCUGCAGAUGGGAUACUACUUUUGCAGUCGAGAAGAAUUAGUAGAGAAAAUUAGCUUUAGUUCAACUAUGAUAAGAAAUCCGGAGUAUCCAGAUCACAGAAAAGUUGGGUGUAGUAGGUUUCAUUAGUAGCCUCUGAAAAUAAAAAUCUGAAAGCAUACUUUAUGCAUAUGAGCUGAUAUGAAGAGCAUUGAUUGUUUGACCUGUUUCGAUCGAGUGAUCCCUUGGUUUGAUGAAUGUUCUUACUAAAAUACAUCAACUCUUAGUGUUCUUGGGUUCACUUGAAUAGACAGAAUGAUGAGAACAUGUACUUUUCCUUUUCUUUAGUCCUUUGUUCAUUGUGUAGUUGGAAAAAAAAAUUAAGCCGGGUUCAUUCUUGCCUGGGUAUGAAGACAGCGUUAAUAAAAGUAAGAAAAUGUAGUGUGGUUGGAAAACUAUAUCACUAUAGUGUAAUUUGAGGGAAGAUUGAGAAAAGAUCCAUGCUAUACGGCAUGAGCUCAUGUUGCGAUGCAUCUUGUUGCAGGAAUUGUUUUCCAAGAUCAUUAUGAAGAAUUUAAAAGUUAGUUUAUCUAUGUUGUAUGGCUAGUGUAACAUUUUGCUAAACUCUUUUGAUCCAUAAGCAAUUUCUCUAUUUGACUUCUUAUUUACAAUUUUCUUACUAAUACUUUAGCAGGACUCCCUUUAUCUUUCUUUUCAUGUUAAAUUCUUCGUGUUUUAUUGUAGAAAGGGAAGUAAGAUGUCAAGUUUGUGUUUUUUUACGGUUUAUACAACUCCAAGUUUGACAGCUACUGAGUAUUUAUACUUGUUCACAGACUUAGACUUUAAGUUAAACAAGAAGCGAUAUAAAUGACGAGCCUUUCAUAGUAUUAGACCAUAAGUCGUUCAACCUACAAAAUAUUGUACUAUAGAAAUGUUUCCAGCAUAUUGUUUUCUGUUGGUAGGAGAAAAACAAAUCCUUAGGAGAGAAUGGAGACAUAGAGAACAAUGUCAUAUACUGACUUGUCACCUUCCAUUGGGACUAUUAGAGCAUCAUUGAUGUGCUUCCGUGAUUAGUUUUUUCAUCAGCUAAUUUUGGUACCAUGAGAUUAAUUGCGUCCCAUUUUCAGGACUUAAUUAUGCAGUUUUGUGCCUUCAGAACUGGUGCAGUGUCUGGGAGCAGCAAUCCCUCAACAAACCAUUGCCCCAAUAUCCUGCAACAAGUUUGGAUACUGGAUUGAAGGGUUGUUCAAAGUAUUGGUAAUGGUCCGAAGGAUAUUCAACCAGGGGCUCAUGUACUUCCAGUAGUCAUUGGGGAAUGCAAGAAGUGUCAACACCUCUGGCAAUAAGCAAUAGGUGUGAUCUGCUUAGAAUCAACACUGACAGAGGUGUAAUGCUCAUUGAAAUGAAGAUCAAGGUUUUCAAUCAAUGGCAAACUUAUUAUUUACAACUUCGCCGGUUGCUCUACUUGUAGUGAGUACAGAGUUGUUCAUGUUGACCCUGAAGCUUCUCUUGACAAAAUCUGUAUUCAUACCUGUGGAUCUCUCUACAGGUCUUGUACUGUGGUUAUUUUGUAAUGAAAUACAUACUUGACUAAGCUUGUGAAGAGGAUAAUGAAUCUGCCCACAGUUCCAUAAACACAAUGCAUAAUGAUGAGAAUUACCUCAUGGGCAUCCCUGACAUGUUAGAAGGUUCAACAAUUCGGUUUUAGAAAGGCGGUUGCCUACUGAUGUCAAAAGGUUACUAUAGUUUGUUCUUUUACAACCCCUUCACAAAAGCUAUCAUCAAACUUCCAGACUUGCCAGAUGGUUGUAAUUAUCUGUUCCGAGAUGGGAUACUAUUUUUGCAGUUGAGAAGAAUUAGCAGAGAAAAUUAUGUUUAGUUCUACUAUGAUAAGAAAUCCGGAGUGUUUAGAUCAGAGAAAAGUUGGGUGUACUAGCUUUCAUUGGUAGCAUCAAACCCAGGGUUGUUCAAAGUAUCGGUAAAGGUGUGAAGGAUAUUCAACCAGGGGAUCAUGUACUUCCAGUAGUCAUUGGGGAAUGCUAGAAGUGUCGCCUCUGGCAAUAAGCAAUAGGUGUGAUCUGCUUAGAAUCAACACUGACAGAAGUGUAAUGCUCAUUGAUGGAAAAUCAAGAUUUUCAAUCAAUGGCAAACUUAUUUACAUCUUCCCCGGUUGCGUAGUGGGUACACAGUUGUUCAUGUUGGUUGUCUGGCUAAGAUCAAUCCUGAAGCUUCUCUUGACAAAACCUGUAUUCAUAGCUGUGGAUCUCUGUGCGUGUUUCUUACAUCAAUGGAUUUUUGGUACCUGUAUGGCUGUAAUUGAGUUCAUAAUUGGUCAUCAUGCUCGAUAUAACGAUUAACAA